GCGGGCGUGGCGGAAUGGCAGACGCGCCAGACUUAGGAUCUGGUGCCGAAAGGCGUAAGAGUUCAAGUCUCUUCGUCCGCACCA
rnacentral:tRNA from 1 species